GCCUCCCUCCGCCGCCACUCAGACUCCGUACGGGAGGCGAGCAGGUGGGUAAGUUUGGUCGUCAAGUACGGGGGAAACCCGUACGGACGCAGCAACGCCGCGUGGAGGAGUGAAAUAUCUUGGUAUGUAAACUCCUUUCGAUGGGAAGAUUAUGACGGUACCCAUAGAAGAAGCCCGGCUAACUUCGUGCCAGCAGCCGCGGUAAUUC
rnacentral:rRNA from 1 species